UGAGCAACCUGCCCUUAACUCUGGGAUAAGCCUGGGAAACUGGGUCUAAUACCGGAUAUGACCGCUGACCGCAUGGUCUGGUGGUGGAAAGAUUUAUCGGCUGGGGAUGGGCCCGCGGCCUAUCAGCUUGUUGGUGGGGUAGUGGCCUACCAAGGCGACGACGGGUAGCCGGCCUGAGAGGGUGACCGGCCACACUGGGACUGAGACACGGCCCAGACUCCUACGGGAGGCAG
rnacentral:rRNA from 1 species